AUUGAACGCUGGCGGCAUGCUUUACACAUGCAAGUCGAACGGCAGCGCGGGCUUCGGCCUGGCGGCGAGUGGCGAACGGGUGAGUAAUGCAUCGGAACGUGCCCAGUAGUGGGGGAUAGCCCGGCGAAAGCCGGAUUAAUACCGCAUACGACCUGAGGGUGACAGCGGGGGACCGAAAGGCCUCGCGCUAUUGGAGCGGCCGAUGUCGGAUUAGCUAGUUGGUGGGGUAAAGGCUUACCAAGGCGACGAUCCGUAGCUGGUCUGAGAGGACGACCAGCCACACUGGGACUGAGACACGGCCCAGACUCCUACGAGAGGCAGCAGUGGGGAAUUUUGGACAAUGGGGGCAACCAUGAUCCAGCCAUGCCGCGUGCGGGAAGAAGGCCUUCGGGUUGUAAACCGCUUUUGUUCGGGAAGAAAUCCUCUGGGCUAAUACCCCGGGGGGAUGACGGUACCGGAAGAAUAAGCACCGGCUAACUACGUG
rnacentral:rRNA from 1 species